rnacentral:lncRNA from 1 species
CCUAGACGCGUAGAUUCCUAGGGAUCCCACGGUGUCGAUAACCGUGAACCUCCGGAGGGGGCCGUGCUCCUAUGUUUGUCGAGGAAAGAUAAGUAUAGACAGUGAACCAGUCAUAGGAGACUCAGGGCCAGGAAAUGGACACUUUCGCUACUUGUAGUCAGAAGUACUACAGAGUAGUUGGCCGGUUCUCGAAUUCAGGACGAACCAGGUCGGUCACAGAUUUGUUUUAUAUUAGCCGGCAGGUAAGUAUCUCGGAGCUCC